UUGACCACCCCUAGCAACAAGAAUUUCGUCGCCAUGCUGAGCUAGAUCAGCUAGAAACUUGCCUCUUUUAUGUUUUACAACAGUACCUGUACGGGAAUACGCAACGUUGGGGCAGCUAAACCGUUUCUUAGUUGAGAAUGAAAAACUCCCAUUGUAUCAACAUUCCCACCACGUUUUGCAUUAAACCGAGUUUUUUUAUGAAACUCCAACAACGAAUCUUUCCCCUCGUCUGCAUAAAUUACGACAUCGCCACCAUGUCCGCCCAUAGGUAGGAUAAGUGAUCCGUCAAAAUCCCGCUUAUAAGAACUUCUUAUCCUUGCUUUUUCUUUGUCCUGUUUGCUCUGUGACUUGGAACUGGCCUUUUGAUUGUUCAUGCUAAGAGUAGCGCCAUGGCCUCCAUCUCCGGCGCGAACAGUUAUGAUUGCUUGAUCGAAAUACUUGUGAGGUUCUCGUGUUAGGCUUUCAAGGCUUGGAGAAGCGACUUCUUUGACCUUUGCAAGUCGACACUUCAAUAUAUGGUGUUGAAAAGUAUUGGGAAUGCUUUU
rnacentral:lncRNA from 1 species